rnacentral:lncRNA from 1 species
AGCGCUGGUCGGAGCGCGAAGCAGAGGGGGCGCAGGCAGUGCUGGGCGCGGACUGCGAGCAGUGGGGCUGGCGGAGAGCCUUGGGGCGCCGUGAGGGGCACCCGCGAGCCCAGGGCGAAGAGUCCAACAAACAGACUGCGCUCCUGUGGCCUUACAGAUGGGCAGGACUACAGGAUAGUACCCCUAAAUGGAGAGAGACUACAGGGCUGAUCAGAAAGGAUGAGAAACAAGAAAGAUACUCUUUAUUUCUGAAAGAGGUAAGUGUAUCUGAUAAUCAAGAAUAAUAAAGAACCUCCUGGCUUCCUCUGAGGGUAAGAGAAGGAAGGGAGGGGAGAGGAGACAGAGUUGGCUGUUAUUGGUAAAACUGGGGGGCAGGGUUGGGGGAGGUAGAUAGGGAAACAGAAAAGGAAACAAAGUGACCAGCUGCCCAGUAAUUCUCUCUAAUGUUUAUAUGAUAUGUUGCAAUUUCUUUUUUUCUUUGUUUUUUAAAUAUUUAUUUAUUUGACUGUACCAGGUCUUAGUCGCAGCAAGUGGGAACUCUUAGUUUUGACAUGUGGGAUCUAGUUCCCCUAUCAGGUAUCCAUCUGGGGCUAUCUGCAUUGAAAGUGUUUUGAAAAAACACUUGCAUUGAACAAAGUGCAUUGAAAGUCUUAGCCACUGGACCACCAGGGAAGUCCCUGCAAUUUCUAAAACACUUUCCCUCCAUAGUCUCUCUCCAAAUUGCCAAGUGAGGCAAGUUGGGGGGUGGGUAAUUAUCCCCAUCUCAUAGAUGAGAUUCAGAGGAAAUAAAUGCAGUGCUCAAGGUCA